rnacentral:tRNA from 1 species
GGGGCUAUAGCUCAGCUGGGAGACCGCCUGCCUUGCACGCAGGAGGUCUGCGGUUCGAUCCCGCAUAGCUCCACCA